GCGCUGCUGAGGAGUCCCACAAUAGGACGAAACAGUCGUCCGGUGC
rfam:Schistosoma mattheei strain Denwood, Zambia genome assembly, scaffold: SMTD_scaffold0012075